UGGGGAAUUUUGGACAAUGGGCGAAAGCCUGAUCCAGCAAUGCCGCGUGUGUGAAGAAGGCCUUCGGGUUGUAAAGCACUUUUGUCCGGAAAGAAAUCCUUGGCUCUAAUACAGUCGGGGGAUGACGGUACCGGAAGAAUAAGCACCGGCUAACUACGUGCCAGCAGCCGCGGUAAUACGUAGGGUGCAAGCGUUAAUCGGAAUUACUGGGCGUAAAGCGUGCGCAGGCGGUUUGCUAAGACCGAUGUGAAAUCCCCGGGCUCAACCUGGGAACUGCAUUGGUGACUGGCAGGCUAGAGUAUGGCAGAGGGGGGUAGAAUUCCACGUGUAGCAGUGAAAUGCGUAGAGAUGUGGAGGAAUACCGAUGGCGAAGGCAGCCCCCUGGGCCAAUACUGACGCUCAUGCACGAAAGCGUGGGGAGCAAAACAGGAUUAGAUACCCUGGUAGUCCACGCCCUAAACGAUGUCAACCAGUUGUUGGGGAUUCAUUUCCUUAGUAACGUAGCUAACGCGUGAAGUUGACCGCCUGGGGAGUACGGUCGCAAGAUUAAAACUCAAAGGAAUUGACGGGGUCAUA
rnacentral:rRNA from 1 species